UCUAAUAAUACGUAUUAAUUAGGACCAUUGUGAAAUCAUAUACCUAAUUGAUAAAUAACAUUAUCUUUUAACAUAUCUGAUUGGCCAGAUUCUCAACAUUAUUUCUGUUGUUUUGUAAGCUAAAAACAGCCAUUUAUUAUCAUCGGUUUCUCGUGUCAAUGUGUGACAGUUGUCGGAUCACACAUGAUUUAUGUCUGUCAUUGACAAUUGACAUAUCGGCUUAUGCCACCAAAUAUAAACCAUUAGAGAUAUGCGGAAAACUUUGGCUCCAUUAAUGCUAUUUCUGAAUGAAUUGUGGAGGCGGUGGGACUUCUAUAAAUCUAAGCCAAAAAAGAUUUUUUCAUUAGGUCUUCCAAAUAUAGUUUUAAUAAUGGAUAUUUUUAAACUAAAAACAACAACGAAGAUGCUGUCUCGUCUUACAUCCGCAAAGUAAUUGGUUACAUCCGGUUCGAAAUUCAAAAUAAACGAACAGUAUAUAUUGUAAAUUCCGAAAUGCAGCAUAACCGAACUAUUUCUAUAUAUAUUCUGAAUGACUCAGGCCAAUAUAAAUGGAUGGCAAUUUAAAUAUUCUAUUCAAGGUGCCAAAUGAAUAUAAUCUAUAGUCCACAAACAUUACAAUGUUGUCUAUUUUUAAUUUAUUAAUUACAACGUGUUGAAAUGUUCUACACGACACUAUUCCUAAUAGACUUUGAUAAACAACGCGUCAUAUUUAUUACAGGUGCAAGUGCAAUUUAUAUUAUAUUAUUUUGAUUUACCUCAUUAAAUUUAUUAAUUAAAUUUUUGAAUUAAAU